GGCUAUAGUUCAGUGACAGAACAGCUGCUUUGCAUGCAGAAGGUCCAGGUUCCAUCCCUGGCAUCUCCU